CCCAGCCGUGGACGCCACACGAGUGAGAAUGCAGGCAUGAGUAGCGAAAGACGGGUGAGAAACCCGUCCGCCGGAUGACCAAGGGUUCCAGGGCCAGGCUAAUCCGCCCUGGGUAAGUCGGGACCUAAGACGAGGCCGACAGGCGUAGUCGAUGGACAACGGGUUGAUAUUCCCGUACCGGUUUACACACGACCAUGACGAGCCCAGUGAUGCUAAGCCCACAAAGUCGAGGAACUCUUCGGAGGGAAUCGGUGGAGUGCGCGAACCGAACUGGUAGUAGUCAAGCAAUGGGGUGACGCAGGAAGGUAGCUCAACCGCGGCGAUGGUAGACCGCGGCCAAGGUUGUAGGGCGAGAUGUAGGUAAAUCCGCAUCUCAUACGCCUGAGAACUGAUGGGGAGCCGACUUAGGCGAAGUGAGUGAUCCUAUGCUGCCGAGAAAAGCCUCUAGCGAGUGUGCAAGCCGCCCGUACCCCAAACCGACACAGGUGGUCAGGUAGAGAAUACCAAGGCGAUCGAGUGAACUGUGGUUAAGGAACUCGGCAAAUUGCCCCCGUAACUUCGGGAGAAGGGGGGCCGCGGCUGGUGAUGGGACUUGCUCCCUGAGCUGGCUACGGCCGCAGAGACCAGGUGGAAGCGACUGUUUACUAAAAACACAGGUCCAUGCAAAGUCGCAAGACGACGUAUAUGGACUGACGCCUGCCCGGUGCUGGAACGUUAAGGGGACCAGUCAGUUCUUCGGAGCGAAGCUGAGAACUUAAGCGCCAGUAAACGGCGGUGGUAACUAUAACCAUCCUAAGGUAGCGAAAUUCCUUGUCGGGUAAGUUCCGACCUGCACGAAUGGCGUAACGACUUCCACGCUGUCUCAACCGCAGACUCGGCGAAAUUGCACUACGAGUAAAGAUGCUCGUUACGCGUGGCAGGACGGAAAGACCCCGGGACCUUUACUACAGCUUGGUAUUGGUGGUCGGUUCGAUUUGUGUAGCAUAGGUGGGAGACUUGGAAGCCCGGACGCCAGUUCGGGUGGAGUCAUCGUUGAAAUACCACUCUGAUCGUAUUGGCUGUCUAACCUCGAUCCGUGAUCCGGAUUAGGGACAGUGCCUGGUGGGUAGUUUAACUGGGGCGGUUGCCUCCCAAAAAGUAACGGAGGCGCUCAAAGGUUCCCUCAGCCUGGUUGGCAAUCAGGUAUUGAGUGUAAGUGCACAAGGGAGCUUGACUGUGAGACUGACAGGUCGAGCAGGGACGAAAGUCGGAACUAGUGAUCCGGCGCCGGCAUGUGGAAGCGGCGUCGCUCAACGGAUAAAAGGUACCCCGGGGAUAACAGGCUGAUCUUGCCCAAGAGUCCAUAUCGACGGCAUGGUUUGGCACCUCGAUGUCGGCUCGUCGCAUCCUGGGGCUGGAGUCGGUCCCAAGGGUUGGGCUGUUCGCCCAUUAAAGCGGCACGCGAGCUGGGUUUAGAACGUCGUGAGACAGUUCGGUCCCUAUCCGCCACGCGCGUAAGAGUCUUGAGGAGAUCUGUCCCUAGUACGAGAGGACCGGGACGGACGAACCUCUGGUGUGCCAGUUGUCCUGCCAAGGGCACGGCUGGUUAGCUACGUUCGGAAGGGAUAACCGCUGAAAGCAUCUAAGCGGGAAGCCCACUCCAAGAUAAGGGCUCUCACUGGUUUACCAGGUAAGGACCCCAGCUAGACGACUGGGUUGAUAGGCCGGAUGUGGAAGCACAGCAAUGUGUGGAGCUGACCGGUACUAAUAGUCCGAGGACUUGCUUAC
rnacentral:rRNA from 1 species